rnacentral:rRNA from 1 species
GCAAGUCGAACGAACUCUGGUAUUGAUUGGUGCUUGCAUCAUGAUUUACAUUUGAGUGAGUGGCGAACUGGUGAGUAACACGUGGGAAACCUGCCCAGAAGCGGGGGAUAACACCUGGAAACAGAUGCUAAUACCGCAUAACAACUUGGACCGCAUGGUCCGAGUUUGAAAGAUGGCUUCGGCUAUCACUUUUGGAUGGUCCCGCGGCGUAUUAGCUAGAUGGUGGGGUAACGGCUCACCAUGGCAAUGAUACGUAGCCGACCUGAGAGGGUAAUCGGCCACAUUGGGACUGAGACACGGCCCAAACUCCUACGGGAGGCAGCAGUAGGGAAUCUUCCACAAUGGACGAAAGUCUGAUGGAGCAACGCCGCGUGAGUGAAGAAGGGUUUCGGCUCGUAAAACUCUGUUGUUAAAGAAGAACAUAUCUGAGAGUAACUGUUCAGGUAUUGACGGUAUUUAACCAGAAAGCCACGGCUAACUACGUGCCAGCAGCCGCGGUAAUACGUAGGUGGCAAGCGUUGUCCGGAUUUAUUGGGCGUAAAGCGAGCGCAGGCGGUUUUUUAAGUCUGAUGUGAAAGCCUUCGGCUCAACCGAAGAAGUGCAUCGGAAACUGGGAAACUUGAGUGCAGAAGAGGACAGUGGAACUCCAUGUGUAGCGGUGAAAUGCGUAGAUAUAUGGAAGAACACCAGUGGCGAAGGCGGCUGUCUGGUCUGUAACUGACGCUGAGGCUCGAAAGUAUGGGUAGCAAACAGGAUUAGAUACCCUGGUAGUCCAUACCGUAAACGAUGAAUGCUAAGUGUUGGAGGGUUUCCGCCCUUCAGUGCUGCAGCUAACGCAUUAAGCAUUCCGCCUGGGGAGUACGGCCGCAAGGCUGAAACUCAAAGGAAUUGACGGGGGCCCGCACAAGCGGUGGAGCAUGUGGUUUAAUUCGAAGCUACGCGAAGAACCUUACCAGGUCUUGACAUACUAUGCAAAUCUAAGAGAUUAGACGUUCCCUUCGGGGACAUGGAUACAGGUGGUGCAUGGUUGUCGUCAGCUCGUGUCGUGAGAUGUUGGGUUAAGUCCCGCAACGAGCGCAACCCUUAUUAUCAGUUGCCAGCAUUAAGUUGGGCACUCUGGUGAGACUGCCGGUGACAAACCGGAGGAAGGUGGGGAUGACGUCAAAUCAUCAUGCCCCUUAUGACCUGGGCUACACACGUGCUACAAUGGAUGGUACAACGAGUUGCGAACUCGCGAGAGUAAGCUAAUCUCUUAAAGCCAUUCUCAGUUCGGAUUGUAGGCUGCAACUCGCCUACAUGAAGUCGGAAUCGCUAGUAAUCGCGGAUCAGCAUGCCGCGGUGAAUACGUUCCCGGGCCUUGUACACACCGCCCGUCACACCAUGAGAGUUUGUAACACCCAAAGUCGGUGGGGUA